GGAUGUGAUGGCGAUCUGGCUGCAACAUCUGCCACCCCAUUGAUCACCAGGGUUGAUCUGGCUGAUCUCUACUGGCUAGGCGGAUGUGCCCUUCCUCCCUCGCCACUCCAUGUGCGUUCCUCCCAAAGCUGCUGGUUCAGUCCAAGAUGACUUUUACCGAGAGAAGAGGGCUGUUCUUCAGCCAAGGGUAUAGGAGUAGCUGCUCCACCUUCCUAGAACCUCCAGACAAGUCCUCCAGAAGCCUUAUAAUGUGGUCUUCUGAUAGUUUUUAUAAUUCAAGCUUCUCAGACCACCUUAUCCUGAGUUUUGUU
rnacentral:snRNA from 1 species